UGGCGCAUACAAAGAGAAGCGACCUCGCGAGAGCAAGCGGACCUCAUAAAGUGCGUCGUAGUCCGGAUUGGAGUCUGCAACUCGACUCCAUGAAGUCGGAAUCGCUAGUAAUCGUGGAUCAGAAUGCCACGGUGAAUACGUUCCCGGGCCUUGUACACACCGCCCGUCACACCAUGGGAGUGGGUUGCAAAAGAAGUAGGUAGCUUAACCUUCGGGAGGGCGCUUACCACUUUGUGAUUCAUGACUGGGGUGAAGUCGUAACAAGGUAACCGUAGGGGAACCUGCGGUUGGAUCACCUCCUUACCUGAAAGAAGC
rnacentral:rRNA from 1 species